GNGGCUUUACGAUGGGUCUAGGUGUGGAGCUCAUUCACGAGUUCCGUGCCGCACAAACGCAUUAAGUGCCCCGCCUGGGGAGUACGGCCGCAAGGCUAAAACUCAAAGGAAUUGACGGGGGCCCGCACAAGCGGCGGAGCAUGCGGAUUAAUUCGAUGCAACGCGAAAAACCUUACCAAGGCUUGACAUGCACGAGAAGCCACCAGAGAUGGUGGUCUCUUUGGACACUCGUGCACAGGUGGUGCAUGGUUGUCGUCAGCUCGUGUCGUGAGAUGUUGGGUUAAGUCCCGCAACGAGCGCAACCCUCGUCCCAUGUUGCCAGCGGGUUAUGCCGGGGACUCAUGGGAGACUGCCGGGGUCAACUCGGAGGAAGGUGGGGAUGACGUCAAAUCAUCAUGCCCCUUAUGUCUUGGGCUUCACGCAUGCUACAAUGGCCGGUACAAAGGGCUGCGAUACCGUAAGGUGGAGCGAAUCCCAAAAAGCCGGUCUCAGUUCGGAUUGGGGUCUGCAACUCGACCCCAUGAAGUCGGAGUCGCUAGUAAUCGCAGAUCAGCAACGCUGCGGUGAAUACGUUCCCGGGCCUUGUACACACCGCCCGUCAAGUCACGAAAGUCGGUAACACCCGAAGCCCAUGGCCCAACCGUUCGCGGGGGGAGUGGUCGAAGGUGGGACUGGCGAUUGGGACUAAGUCGUAACAAGGGUAACCAA
rnacentral:rRNA from 1 species